UGGUCCCACAUCAGUUAGUCUCCUCGCCUGGUCCCAGAACAGUUAGUCUCCUCGCCUGGUCCCAGAUCAGUUAGUCUCCUAGCCUGGUCCCACAUCAGUUAGUCUCCUAGCCUGGUCCCACAUCAGUUAGUCUCCUAGCCUGUUCCCACAUCAGUUAGUCUCCUCGCCUGGUCCCACAUCAGUUAGUCUCCUAGCCUGGUCCCAGAUCAGUUAGUCUCCUAGCCUGGUCCCACAUCAGUAAGUCUCCUAGCCUGGUCCCACAUCCCACAUCAGUUGGUCUCCUAGCCUGGUCCCAGAUCAGUUAGUCUCCUAGCCUGGUCCCACAUCAGUUAGUCUCCUAGCCUGGUCCCACAUCAGUUAGUCUCCUAGCCUGUUCCCAGAUCAGUUAGUCUCCUAGCCUGGUCCCACAUCAGUUAGUCUCCUAGCCUGGUCCCAGAUCAGUUAGUCUCCUAGCCUGGUCCCAGAUCAGUUAGUCUCCUCGCCUGGUCCCAGAUCAGUUAGUCUCCUAGCCUGGUCCCAGAUCAGUUAGUCUCCUAGCCUGGUCCCAGAUCAGUUAGUCUCCUAGCCUGGUCCCAGAUCAGUUAGUCUCCUAGCCUGGUCCCAGAUCAGUUAGUCUCCUAGCCUGGUCCCAGAUCAGUUAGUCUCCUAGCCUGGUCCCAGAUCAGUUAGUCUCCUAGCCUGGUCCCAGAUCAGUUAGUCUCCUAGCCUGGUCCCAGAUCAGUUAGUCUCCUAGCCUGGUCCUACAUCAGUUAGUCUCCUAGCCUGGUCCCACAUCAGUUAGUCUCCUAGCCUGGUCCCAGAUCAGUUAGUCUCCUAGCCUGGUCCCAGAUCAAUCAGUCUCCUAGCCUGGUCCCACAUCAAGUUUGUGCUGUCUUGACAUGGAAGCCGGAACUAUGGGACAAUAAACAUUUAUUGCCUGGGUAAACCAGACUGAAUGUUUCAAACAAUGUCGAUCAGCGUUCCAGUAUGGUUUAACCAGGCGAUAAUCCACCUCUGGGAGAAGAUAUUACUUUAAUAAUAAUAGGCUUUUCAGUCAGAAUUUAUCAGCAGUUUUUUUUGGUUACUGUAUUUUUAUUCAUAGGAAGAACACUUGUAUUUUACAUUAACUGAAUUACCAAAUAACCUUGUCCAUUUUCCACGUGUUUAUAUUGAUGCUUGUAUACAAUAUGUACAGCACCGUAUGGGAGAAACAAAACAGUGAAUGAGGAAGUCCGAGGUCAUUUGAGAAGAGAACAUGAUAUUUUAAAUCAGAUGGAUUUCACAGUUACCUGUCCUUGUAAAACUUGUCGAUAUGAUGCGAACAUGUACAGCUGGCGAGGAAGUUGUAAUAAAUAUUGUAUAAAACUAAA